CGCGGCGCGGCGGGCCCGGCCCCGGCCCCGGCCCGCGUCCUCGCGCGCCUGUCGCGACUUGCUCGCGAUAUCGGUCCCCCUUGCCCCGUGUGAGGGGUCUGCCCUUCCCCGUGGCAGCUCCCCACAGGAGCCGCAGCUGGGACAAAUGCCGUGAUGGUUCCCGCAGGGAGAGCCCCGGCGUUAGCCCCCAGCCGGGGCUGGCUGCUGGUGUUGGUCUGAAACUGCCCUCGGCCAGGCUCAGAAGCACCACAAAAGGCCGGAGUCAGAAAGACAAACCCGGUCAGACUCCUAACUCACAACACUGACUGCCUCUCCGUGCAGCAACUGAUACUCGUGAUGUUAAGACAACUCCACAGGAGGCUGCUGAGCUGGUCGUCCACAGAGAUUCAAGCAGUACGAGCUACAGUCUGUAAUGGACAGCAAAUUACAGUAAUUAAAAUAACCUAAGCUGAUGAGUCCAGCACUGGAAGCAACAGGAUAGCACUAGAAACUACGUUUUUUAGUCAAUGACUUAGGAAGCAGCAAGAGCAAAGCUUCACAUCAUGGUGGGCAUGAAAAUGUCAGCAAUUUCAACAAGCUGCAGACCAACAUAAUUGGAAGAUAUCCUCUGAAAGCCUGAAAGCCUCCUGUGACCUUAAAGCCCACUUCAUAGUGAACACAGGCAACAGUCUUAAAUAAGAGGGGGGAAAAAAUAACGGGUCCUCACUGAAUUGAUUGUUUCAGGAGCUCACUGCACCAGCAAUCUCACUCUGCCAGUGAAGCCCCGCACUGUUCGUCCAGGACAGCCAGAGUUAGCAUGGACCCUGCUGCUGCUCCCGAGCACCGACUAUGAAACAGGACGCCUCAAGGAAAGGCAGCAGCCAGAUAACACAACACAUUUGAGUCGUUCUCUUCUUCCCUAAGAAAGCAGCAUAGUAUUGUACAGAAUAAUUCCUUGAGGAUUCCAGAACAGAAAUAUCAUUUAUCCUUACAAACGAUUGCUUAUAUCCCACUCCUCACUUCAGCCUCACUUCCUGAAGACCGUGUUGGGCCAGCAGCUGGUAUUAACAAGCAGUGCAAACCCUACUGCUGUGACAAGGCACCAGAGUUCAUGCCUCCAGAUUACUUACGCAGAGGGCAGCAAAAGCCUGCUCACCUUCUGAGGAAUUAAAGCAUCGUUACUGGAAUGGCAGAAACAUCCAGCUUUGAAGAUGUAAAGGAAAGACUGCCUCCGAAAAGCAUCUGCUAUGGCAGGAAUCAAGCACUGAUACUACUGAAGCCCAAAGCUGCUUCCUCACAACAGCAGAAAUCCCCGUCUUGCUCAAAAGAUUUCAUUUGUUUAAAGUGAACAGCAAAUUCCUUGUGUCUGCUGAAAUUGGUACCGAAGCUCAGUACAACAGUUGCUCGGCAGGGUUUAGAGAUAAGGUAAGUGACAUUGUCACUGUAAAAAUAGUUUCAGAUAACUCUAGACUGUAGGAAAUCAGAGGAUUUUUUUUCCUGUGGACACCCAAGAAGGAUGUAACUUAUGAGGUUUCACUUGCCUGGAUAUCAAAAUGGAGAUUAGGAAGCUUUGCCUAGCAAGGGAGGAGAGUACUCUGGACAUCACUCAUACAGAGCUAAGCAAUCCCCCCCAUGUGUUACCAACACGGCGCAGCUUCGAGGCAAGCUGUCCCCACAUACCUGAUACCACUUUUGGAGCCGGGAAGAGAGGGAGUGAAUUCUCAGCAGAUCUUUUCUGUUGCAGCUGUGAACAUUUAAACAUUAGGCACAGCUACAGAGAUCAGCUUGCCCAGCGAAGAUGUGACAAGGGAUUUAUUUGGUACCUGGUGGCUGCGCUUCUCUGCGUUCUUACGUGGUCGUGUUGGGCAUGCGGUGAUGCUGAGCCAGGCGAGUUUCACAGCACUACUUCUCAACGGGUUGAUUUUACUAGCUACUGCCAGUGUUCCUUCACCUCUAUCAGUAAAACCUGCACAUGUUGGAAGACACUGGACUGACUGAAUUAGAAGUUAACUGCAAAAAAAAACAACAUAUCGCAGUGUAAUGAAAUACUAGAGUUCUAAAUGAACUACAUUUGGCCACUUUCAUAGCAUUUCAGUGAGGACUCAUUUGUAAACAACAAGCGACAUAUAUCCAUGCUCAAGAAUAUUGUUGGAAAAUGCAGUUGGAAGCUUGAUAGUUGGAUUUCCUUCCUGCUGAUUAUAAAAUUCCAUCUGAAAUUUGUUUUCCUUUUUGUGGAGUAUUCUUGUUAGAAGUAUUCUUGUUACCUGUGACUAGUUGGCCAACAGAGGGAGCAUGGAACAAACUGUGACUCUUACAAAACUAUGGCUUAAAAAAAAAGUAACACCUAGCAGGGAAAUGAUACCGAAAACAUAAAAUCAUCCUCUGUAUGACUUUCCAAGAUGUAUCACACAUUUGAGGUUAAAUACAGUACAUAAUGUCUUUUUUCAAAGCGAUUGCUUUGAAAGAGGGCAAGCACUCCCCUGAAUGUUUUAAUCAUUUGCACGCCCUGAGACAGCAUUAGUCAGAGAUCACAGAUCCACAUGUAAACUGGCAACUUGCCUAUUUUGCUGGCUAUUCCUUCCCAACACUCUAACCACAUUAACACUCUAACCACCAUUUUUACCCUAAACUUCUGAAAAACAGAGAUAAAUAACAAUCAAUAU